rnacentral:rRNA from 1 species
CAGCAGCCGCGGUAAAACGUAGGUGGCAAGCGUUGUCCGGAAUUAUUGGGCGUAAAGGGCUCGCAGGCGGUUUCUUAAGUCUGAUGUGAAAGCCCCCGGCUCAACCUGGGAGGGUCAUUGGAAACUGGGAAACUUGAGUGCAGAAGAGGAGAGUGGAAUUCCACGUGUAGCGGUGAAAUGCGUAGAGAUGUGGAGGAACACCAGUGGCGAAGGCGACUCUCUGGUCUGUAACUGACGCUGAGGAGCGAAAGCGUGGGGAGCGAACAGGAUUAGAUACCCCCGUAGUCCCUGUCUCUUAUAA